UACGUAGGGGGCAAGCGUUGUCCGGAAUCAUUGGGCGUAAAGCGCGUGUAGGCGGCCCGGUAAGUCCGCUGUGAAAGUCCAAGGCUCAACCUUGGAAUGCCGGUGGAUACUGUCGGGCUCGAGUCCGGAAGAGGCGAGUGGAAUUCCUGGUGUAGCGGUGAAAUGCGCAGAUAUCAGGAGGAACACCGAUGGCGAAGGCAGCUCGCUGGGACGUGACUGACGCUGAGACGCGAAAGCGUGGGGAGCGAACAGG
rnacentral:rRNA from 1 species